AGAACGAACGCUGGCGGCAUGCCUAAUACAUGCAAGUCGAACGAACUCUUCAGAGUUAGUGGCGCACGGGUGCGUAACGCGUGGGAAUCUGCCCCUUGGUUCGGAAUAACAGUUGGAAACGACUGCUAAUACCGGAUGAUGACGAAAGUCCAAAGAUUUAUCGCCCAGGGAUGAGCCCGCGUAGGAUUAGCUAGUUGGUGAGGUAAAGGCUCACCAAGGCGACGAUCCUUAGCUGGUCUGAGAGGAUGAUCAGCCACACUGGGACUGGGACACGGCCCAGACUCCGUACGGGAGCAGCAGUAGGGAAUAGUGGACAAGU
rnacentral:rRNA from 1 species